AUUGAACGCUGGCGGCAGGCCUAACACAUGCAAGUCGAGCGGAUGAAGGGAGCUUGCUCCUGGAUUCAGCGGCGGACGGGUGAGUAAUGCCUAGGAAUCUGCCUUGUAGUGGGGGAUAACGUCCGGAAACGGGCGCUAAUACCGCAUACGUCCUGAGGGAGAAAGUGGGGGAUCUUCGGACCUCACGCUAUCAGAUGAGCCUAGGUCGGAUUAGCUAGUUGGUUGGGUAAAGGCCUACCAAGGCGACGAUCCGUAACUGGUCUGAGAGGAUGAUCAGUCACACUGGAACUGAGACACGGUCCAGACUCCUACGGGAGGCAGCAGUGGGGAAUAUUGGACAAUGGGCGAAAGCCUGAUCCAGCCAUGCCGCGUGUGUGAAGAAGGUCUUCGGAUUGUAAAGCACUUUAAGUUGGGAGGAAGGGCAGUAAGUUAAUACCUUGCUGUUUUGACGUUACCAACAGAAUAAGCACCGGCUAACUUCGUG
rnacentral:rRNA from 1 species